rnacentral:sRNA from 1 species
UCGCAGCCCGACUUGAGUGGAAAUCCUUUUUUUGCAUAAACUGAAACUUCGAUUAAAGAUAGAACGUCUUGCAAAAAAAGAUUGGGAACGGAAGAAGGAUUAAGC